GGAGUCUAGCAUGUGCGCGAGUCAUUGGGACGUUUAAAACGAAACCUAAAGGCGUAAUGAAAGUAAAGCGUUGCACUAGCGCGACAUUAGGGAGGAUGGGUUGCGCUCUGUCGCCGCCCCGCACUCCCGGGGCGUCUCGUUCUCUGUGCGCGCAAGCGCGCUGAGUUGAGGCGCACCCAGAGCGUACACGCUGGGACCCGAAAGAUGGUGAACUAUGCCUGGUCAGGACGAAGUCAGGGGAAACCCUGAUGGAGGUCCGUAGCGAUUCUGACGUGCAAAUCGAUCGUAAGAACUGGGUAUAGGGGCGAAAGACUAAUCGAACCAUCUAGUAGCUGGUUCCCUCCGAAGUUUCCCUCAGGAUAGCUGGCGCUCGUCGCCGUACUUUAUGACAAUAGUUAUAUGGGACGUUUAUUCGAGUCUCAUCCGGUAAAGCGAAUGAUUAGAGGCAUUGGGGUCGAAACGGCCUCAACCUAUUCUCAAACUUUAAAUGGGUGAGAUCUCCGGCUUGCUUGAAAGGUGAAGCCGCGAGAUCGGAUCAGAGUGCCAAGUGGGCCAUUUUUGGUAAGCAGAACUGGCGCUGUGGGAUGAACCAAACGUUGAGUUAAAGCGCCAAAAUCGACGCUUAUGGGAUACCAUGAAAGGCGUUGGUAACUUAAGACAGCAGGACGGUGGCCAUGGAA
rnacentral:rRNA from 1 species